rnacentral:rRNA from 1 species
CCUACGGGAGGCAGCAGUGGGGAAUAUUGCACAAUGGGCGCAAGCCUGAUCCAGCCAUGCCGCGUGAGUGAUGAAGGCCUUAGGGUUGUAAAGCUCUUUCACCGAUGAAGAUAAUGACGGUAGUCGGAGAAGAAGCCCCGGCUAACUUCGUGCCAGCAGCCGCGGUAAU